rnacentral:rRNA from 1 species
AACGAACGCUGGCGGCAGGCUUAACACAUGCAAGUCGAACGAUGUAGCAAUACAUAGUGGCGCACGGGUGAGUAACGCGUGGGAACGUGCCUUUUAGUUUGGAAUAACACCGGGAAACUGGUGCUAAUGCCAAAUACGCCCUUCGGGGGAAAGAUUUAUCGCUAAAAGAUCGGCCCGCGUCAGAUUAGCUAGUUGGUGGGGUAAUGGCCUACCAAGGCUCCGAUCUGUAGCUGUUCUGAGAGGAAGAUCAGCCACACUGGAACUGAGACACGGUCCAGACUCCUACGGGAGGCAGCAGUGGGGAAUAUUGGACAAUGGGGGAAACCCUAAUCCAGCCAUGCCGCGUGAGUGAUGAAGGCCUUAGGGUUGUAAAGCUCUUUUACCAGGGAAGAUGAUGAUGGUACCUGGAGAAUAAGCACCGGCUGACUUCGUGCCAGCCGCCGCCGUAA